rnacentral:rRNA from 1 species
AGAGUUUGAUCAUGGCUCAGAACGAACGCUGGCGGCGUGCUUAACACAUGCAAGUCGAACGCGAAAGUUUUCUCUCGAGAAGACGAGUAGAGUGGCGCACGGGUGAGUAACGCGUAAAUAAUCUACCCCUGCAUCUGGGAUAACCCACCGAAAGGUGUGCUAAUACCGGAUACGUUCUUUUAACCGCGAGGUUUUAAGAAGAAAGGUGGCCUCUGAUAUAAGCUACUGUGCGGGGAGGAGUUUGCGUACCAUUAGCUAGUUGGUAGGGUAAUGGCCUACCAAGGCAUCGAUGGUUAGCGGGUCUGAGAGGAUGAUCCGCCACACUGGAACUGGAACACGGACCAGACUCCUACGGGAGGCAGCAGUGAGGAAUAUUGCGCAAUGGGGGCAACCCUGACGCAGCGACGCCGCGUGGAUGAUGAAGGCCUUCGGGUCGUAAAAUCCUGUCAGAUGGAAAGAAGUGCAUAUGGAUUAAUAAUUCAUAUGUUUGACGGUA